rnacentral:rRNA from 1 species
AUUGAACGCUGGCGGAAUGCUUUACACAUGCAAGUCGAACGGCAGCACGGACUUCGGUCUGGUGGCGAGUGGCGAACGGGUGAGUAAUGUAUCGGAACGUGCCCAGUCGUGGGGGAUAACGUAGUGAAAAUUACGCUAAUACCACAUACGAUCUACGGAUGAAAGCGGGGGAUCGCAAGACCUCGCGCGAUUGGAGCGGGCGAUAUCAGAUUAGGUAGUUGGUGGGGUAAAGGCCCACCAAGCCAACGAUCUGUAGCUGGUCUGAGAGGACGACCAGCCACACUGGAACUGAGACACGGUCCAGACUCCUACGGGAGGCAGCAGUGGGGAAUUUUGGACAAUGGGCGAAAGCCUGAUCCAGCCAUUCCGCGUGCAGGAUGAAGGCCCUCAGGUUGUAAACUGCUUUUGUACAGAACGAAAAGGUUUCUACUAAUACUAGGAGCUCAUGACGGUACUGUAAGAAUAAGCACCGGCUAACUACGUGCCAGCCGCCGCGGUAA